GCUUCUGGAAAUCCUCCAGGAGCUCACUGAGCCCCACAACCACAGUGUAGUCUAUGCUGCUGACAUGCGUGCACUCCAGGACCGCGCAGCGUGGUAAGGAUGCUGGGGAGAGAGGCCAAGAGUCUGUUACAGCACAAGGGCAUCGAUUGCAGGGAAGUACAGGCCACUGGCCGGCUGCAGGACAAGAACGUGUCCUUCUGUCACCUGGAUGGAGGAAGGCAGAGUGGACGCCAGAGGCAGACGGGGCAGGAUGAAGGCCUUAAACUCCCACUUUUACAACUGAAUUUAGGUUGCAGCUCUCUGAGAGGGCAAGCAGGUGUCUUUGCCAACAAAGGGCCAUCAGUCUACAAGGCCCGUAUAUUCAGGGUCGAGGGAGAGACCAAACACAGAGGUCUAAGUCACCCUCUCAGUGUCUCAAGGACAAACCCAGCAGCGCCUUCUGCUCACGUCCAAGCUGUGCAGAUGUGUCCAAAAAUGCUAAGACUAAACCUCAGCAAAUUAGAAAUACACUAACAUCCUCCCUC